rnacentral:rRNA from 1 species
CCCAGCCGCUGGCGGCGUGCUUAACACAUGCAAGUCGAACGCUGAAGCCUAGCUUUUGUUGGGUGGAUGAGUGGCGAACGGGUGAGUAACACGUGAGUAACCUGCCCCCUUCUUUGGGAUAACGCCCGGAAACGGGUGCUAAUACUGGAUAUUCACUGAUCUUCGCAUGGGGGUUGGUGGAAAGGUUUUUUCUGGUGGGGGAUGGGCUCGCGGCCUAUCAGCUUGUUGGUGGGGUGAUGGCCUACCAAGGCUUUGACGGGUAGCCGGCCUGAGAGGGUGACCGGUCACAUUGGGACUGAGAUACGGCCCAGACUCCUACGGGAGGCAGCAGUGGGGAAUAUUGCACAAUGGGCGAAAGCCUGAUGCAGCGACGCCGCGUGAGGGAUGGAGGCCUUCGGGUUGUAAACCUCUUUCGCUCAUGGUCAAGCCGCAACAUUGGUUGUGGUGAGGGUAGUGGGUAAAGAAGCGCCGGCUAACUACGUGCCAGCAG